rnacentral:rRNA from 1 species
CGGGACGGGUGGAGUAACGCGUGAGUAACCUGCCUUCAAGAGGGGGAGUAACAUUCUGAAAAGAAAUGCUAAUACCGCAUGACAUAUCGGAACCACAUGGUUUUGUAUAUCAAAGAUUUUAUCGCUUGAAGAUGGACUCGCGUCCGAUUAGUUAGUUGGUGAGGUAACGGCUCACCAAGACCGCGAUCGGUAGCCGGACUGAGAGGUUGAACGGCCACAUUGGGACUGAGACACGGUCCAAACUCCUACGGGAGGCAGCAUG